rnacentral:rRNA from 1 species
GAGUUUGAUCAUGGCUCAGAUUGAACGCUGGCGGCAGGCCUAACACAUGCAAGUCGAGCGGAUGAAGGGAGCUUGCUCCUGGAUUCAGCGGCGGACGGGUGAGUAAUGCCUAGGAAUCUGCCUGGUAGUGGGGGAUAACGUCCGGAAACGGGCGCUAAUACCGCAUACGUCCUGAGGGAGAAAGUGGGGGAUCUUCGGACCUCACGCUAUCAGAUGAGCCUAGGUCGGAUUAGCUAGUUGGUGGGUAAAGGCCUACCAAGGCGACGAUCCGUAACUGGUCUGAGAGGAUGAUCAGUCACACUGGAACUGAGACACGGUCCAGACUCCUACGGGAGGCAGCAGUGGGAAUAUUGGACAAUGGGCGAAAGCCUGAUCCAGCCAUGCCGCGUGUGUGAAGAAGGUCUUCGGAUUGUAAAGCACUUUAAGUUGGGAGGAAGGGCAGUAAGUUAAUACCUUGCUGUUUUGACGUUACCAACAGAAUAAGCA